UGGGGAAUUUUGGACAAUGGGGGAAACCCUGAUCCAGCCAUCCCGCGUGUGCGAUGAAGGCCUUCGGGUUGUAAAGCACUUUUGGCAGGAAAGAAACGUCGCGGGUUAAUACCCCGCGAAACUGACGGUACCUGCAGAAUAAGCACCGGCUAACUACGUGUCAGCAGCCGCGGUAAUACGUAGGGUGCAAGCGUUAAUCGGAAUUACUGGGCGUAAAGCGUGCGCAGGCGGUUCGGAAAGAAAGAUGUGAAAUCCCAGAGCUUAACUUUGGAACUGCAUUUUUAACUACCGGGCUAGAGUGUGUCAAAGGGAGGUGGAAUUCCGCGUGUAGCAGUGAAAUGCGUAGAUAUGCGGAGGAACACCGAUGGCGAAGGCAGCCUCCUGGGAUAACACUGACGCUCAUGCACGAAAGCGUGGGGAGCAAACAGGAUUAGAUACCCUGGUAGUCCACGCCCUAAACGAUGUCAACUAGCUGUUGGGGCCUUCGGGCCUUGGUAGCGCAGCUAACGCGUGAAGUUGACCGCCUGGGGAGUACGGUCGCAAGAUUAAAACUUAAAGGAAUUGAC
rnacentral:rRNA from 1 species